rnacentral:lncRNA from 1 species
CGUUAGGGAAAACUCUGUAAAAUCUAUAGUUAAUCUUGUAUUUGGACCUAAGCCUAGUACCAAGUGCCAAGCACUGUUCUUUACGGGCCAAUUUGAGCAAAUUUGGGCCUUCUCUCAUGAUGGCAGCACCACCAGUGGGCAUUUCAAAGAUCUGUUCCUUAGGUGAUUCCCAAGUGAUCACAUAAAACUCCUCAACUUGGGCCUUACGAAGAAGCCCACCAGUGCUUCCACCAAAGAUAGGAGAUGGGGUGCUUGGGUCCAAUUGUGGUGGUGUGAAGCCCACUGGUGCUGCUGGCUCGGCCUCUUUGGUGGCCGAUUGGGCCUUCUCAUCUGCCAUAGCCUUGAUAGGACGGUAUGUCACCGCGGACUUAGAUGGUUUAGGGGCGGAGAAGGAAGAAACGGAUUGCUUCCAAAGGGCGGCUGUUUUCGGGCCAGAGAUAGAUGAGGUGAAAAGGGAAGCUUGGGAUGCCAUGGCCAUAGAAAAGUUGGAUUGAGAGAAGUGACAAGGAAGAAGCUAUUUGUUUUGUUGUUGCAUAGAAGAGAUGAUGGGUGGU